AAGAAUGGUGAUAGGAUUGCCAUGCGUGCCAUUUCUGCCAACAAAGCUUUCAGUCUGUCACAAAUCUGUCAACUGCGUGAACACGAGCAUAAAUUCUGUAAGAAUAUUUAAGCUGACAGAGAUAACUGAGUUAUCUGUUGCAUAUCUAGUUCUCGUUCAUGCAAAAGUACAAGCACCACUGCACCUGUGGCACUUCUCCAUAGUUACAUACAAAACCAAUUCAUAAAAUUCUCAAAAAUCAUGGAAAUCAGUUGAUGAAUCUUGUCAAUCCAAAGAAAACCAUGAACCGAUACAGAGCAAGUGAAGAACUUCAAAAGUACUUCUUAGUACAAACCAUGAGUUCCUGCAUUCUUGACAUUACCAGAUGAUAAUUUAAAAAUAAAGAAUAUCAAAUCAAAGAAUAUGAAAAAUGUGACAGUCAGUCUAAAAGCAGAGAUCCUUGUGUUUUGUCAAGACAUGAGCUGUCUCCAUCCCACCUGAUAGCUCUCUUCUACAUAUGUCAGUCUAUUAGGUAUAUCCACAUCCACACAACUUUAAAUUUGCCAUAAAUCUCAUUAACUCAAAUUUCACUAGAGAAGUGAAAAUAGUAACAUACAUAGAAGGUAUAUGAGAUCUUUGAAAGAACAUAUAAGGCAUAUGAGAAAAAAAAAAAAAAAGCGAUAAAGAAAAUACAGUUAGCUCAAGACAAGCACAAAAGAUGCAGAAACAUCAGUUUCAGACAUGAAGCUUUCAUCUUGCAAAAUCAAAUCCAUAACAAAUGUACCUUGCGCAUACUUAUACAAAAAGGAAAACAAGAUCUAGCAGUGAAUAUAUACUCCUAACACUUACGAAAUAGAACUUAAUAAAACUCACGGCCAGAAGUAAAUUUAUAUGAAGCAACCCGAGGGCUUUGUUGUUCCUAACUAUGAACAAUGUGUUUAUAGUUUGUGUCAUACCAUACUUUUACCUAAGGUCAAAACAAGUACGACAUUAUAGACUCAAAAAGAAUUGAUUUUUUAUAAAGUUGCUACCUAAUUUUUAAGGAAAAAAUAGAAAACCUACUUAUUUAUUAAUAAGUAUGAUUUUUAUUUCAAUGUGCGAACCAAUUUAAAUUAUAGGUAAGGGUUUAAAUUAUUCGGAAGAGAAGAAUUAGGCACCUUCAGAAUCCACAAAUGUUAUUUCUGAUCAGACUUAGUUUUAUUAAAAGAGAAAAAAAAGAAAAAAUCAAUGUUUGUAAAUAUAAAUAUAAAAAAUGUAUUGAAAUAAUACAAUGCGUAUGUUGUCGUAUAUAUAAAUAAAAGUAUAUAUGCAUAUGUAUGUAAAGAAAAGACAAGAUUGAAUAAAGAAAAACUGCUUUAAAGAAAAGACUACGUAAUAAUUUAGUGUAAAAAGUGUGAAUUAUUUGAUAAAAUAUCUAAAUCAAUUUUAAUAUAAAUAUUAACGGCCUAAAAUUGUCUAACACGUAGUGAGGGUUGCGUAAAUAAAGAACAUCCCGCCCAACACCCCAAAAAUAAAGACUUCACUAUAAUUAAAAUUUGUACAAGUGUAAAAGUAUAAAAAUAUAAACAUAAAAAUUAAAGCCUUCUUUGAAUGUCAUUUCCGACGAGUAUUCCCAAUAACCUGUAUAAACACUUGUAAAUAAAAUGUUAGUAACAAAUAAAUAAUUAUCAAAAUAAAUUGAAAAGAUAUAUGUGCAUAUAUAUAUAAAAGAUAUAAUUUUUCGUUAAAAGAGUGGACUCAGAUAAAAUUUUUAAAAAUUAUAAAGAUUUCAUCAUUAACCAAAAUAUUUAUUUUAUUAUGUAUUUAUGUAUAUAAUAUCCAUCUUUUUAUAUGUGGAAGCCUCGAAAAUUAACGAAAAAUUUCUUCAUUGACCAAUUAAAUAGAAACUUGAAUAAAGAUAAUUGAAACUGAAAAAUAAUUAAACUAGAAAUAUAGUUAAACGUAACAAUAACAUUUGUCUCUUAUAACGUAGAGGCCUCAAACAUAGAUAUUUUAUCUUCAGUUAAAUAUUGAUGAUUAAAGUCGUCAUCAGUGUAAAAGUGAUCAAAAUCACCACUAACAAAAGCUAUCAACAACAUGAAAAUAAAAUUCAAGAUAAAGCAGCAACACAAAGCAACGAGAUAAUAAAACAAAUAACAAAAAGACAAAACAACAUCCAUGUCAAGUAAUAUGUAAAUAAUAAAGCAGCAACACAAAGCAACAAGUAACAAAAGAUAAAAAACAUCAACAUGAUAGCAGUAAAUAAUCAAAGUUAAAAGAAAGCCAUUACUGGAAGCAAAAGUAUGUGUCCGAAAAACCCCAAUAAUUGUUGGGAGACAACAAAAUAAUUAAAAAUGUGAUAAUAAUAUCAUAAUUACUAAUGAUGAGACUGAUAAAAGAACAAUAUUUGAGAGCAACAUUAGACAAAAAAUCAAAUGAAAAGAAAUGGAAUGUCACCAGAUAAAAAUGUAUGCAUAAAAUUAACAUCAAAUAAGCAAGAUAAAAGAAAAUACCCACAAUAACCUUGAAGCAACAAUAGGAAAAAAAAAACUCGUUCGAGCAGUGAAUGUCGCCGGAGUUUCAUCGUUGUUGAGUUGGUUGCUGGCUCCGGUCAGAUCUGGACUUCGCCGAAGCUUGGAGCUCCGACUUGGUUCAUCAUCGCCGGUGACGGGAGAGAGGGAAAAGGAAGGGCGGCGCAGUGAUGGUGCGGUCGAAUCUCGCCGGUGAAGGAGAUGGUGGUGCGGGAGGCGGUGUCCGUUGGUUUUCUCCGGCGGGAAGAUGGAGGAAAGACCUCAUCGGCGUGGGCUCGCCGGCGGUCACUGAUGGUGCGUCGGGCGGUGGCAGAUGGGGACGAAAAGAAAAAAAGUCACUGAUUUGGACAAAUUAAUUAAGAGUGAUAAAAAAGUUUCACAAAUGACACAAAUUUUAAAUAUUGAUUCGAGGAAUAAUUUUAAGAUUAAUGUUAAUGACACUAAUUUUAAAAGCUCUUAAAUUUUAUUAUUUAUACGAAGAACCUUUGCACUAUAUUCACACAAAGAUUUCUAUACUAUCAUCAUCACUCCUUUUCCAUGUGC
rnacentral:lncRNA from 1 species